UGGGGAAUAUUGGACAAUGGAGGAAACUCUGAUCCAGCAAUUCUGUGUGUGUGAAGAAGGUUUUAGGACUGUAAAACACUCUUAGUAGGGAAGAAAAAAAUGACGGUACCUACAGAAGAAGCAACGGCUAAAUACGUGCCAGCAGCCGCGGUAAUACGUAUGUUGCGAGCGUUAUCCGGAAUUAUUGGGCUUAAAGAGCAUCUAGGCGGUAAGACAAAUUGAAUGUGAAAACCUGUGGCUCACCCAUAGGCUUGCCUACAAAACUGUUGAGCUAUAGUACUGGAAAGGUGGGUGGAACUACACGAGUAGAGGUGAAAUUCGUAGAUAUGUGUAGGGAUGCCGAUGAUGAAGAUAACUCACUGGAAAGAAACAGACGCUGAAGUGCGAAAGCGAGGGGAGCAAACAGG
rnacentral:rRNA from 1 species